AGCCAUCAUGGCAUAGUGGCUUCUGUGUUGGACUAAGACUCUGGAGAUCAGGGUUCAAAUCCCUGCUUGGCUG